UGCAGCUGCUUGCUGGGCACUGAGAGAAAUUUAAAUAAUUGCUAGUAGUAAUAUGCCAAACAUUUCAAAUUCAACAUGUUUUAAGCUCAAAACAUCUCAUAUUGAGUUUGGAGAGCUUGUUUUAAGAUUGAAAUGGCUGGCAUUCCAAAUAUUCUGAGCUAUUUUGAGCUUAGAAAACUUCCAGAAAAGUCAGGAUAUCAUCAGAGAACUUUUCAGGUUGAAGUGAUUACCUUUGAUUCUUCUAAUAUGCUAUGCAGCAUGGAAUUGAAAGAAACAUAGAACUGCAGAAGUAAACACAGCUUGGAUAAUUAUGGUGAUUUUUCCAUUAUAGCAGCAUAAAAAAAUUACAAUCAGUCUUGUGGUGGGGAAAAAAGCUAGAAUCUCUCCACCCCAUAGCCAAUGUACUGCUAUUGGAGCACCUGCAGUAUUUCUCAUGUGAUGCUCAGGAGAAGAGGAGAUAAAGUUGGGGUAAAGUAAAGACAUAACCACACAUCCUGUGGUAAAACAGGAGCUGGUAAUAAGGGCGAAGCCAUGUGUGAUGGUACAUAUUUCUUUGGUUUGAAGAAUAGAAAUAUGGCAACUAUGCAUAUUCUGAAGAACAGAAACUAUGCAAUUAUUUAUCAUCUCUUAGAAAAGGUCAUAAUGUAAGUAAAAAUGGAAAGUGUAAAAAGUGAGUUUCAAAAAUUGAGAAGACAAAGACAUUAUCAGCCUACAUGCUUAACAAACUUAUAAUGGAUAAAGAGGAAUUGAAGAUGGAAGAUGCUUUUGUUUUUCUAUGCUUAAAAUAGCUAGAUGAACCAUGUGCUAGAGAAAUAAAGUUGAAAUUAAUCUUAAGGAAGAAGGGAAUGACAAAGAAUACUUUAACGCAAAUCAAGAUCACAGUUAAAACUGGUCUUUCAAGGGCAAAUAUGCCUCUUUAAAGUCAGCUCUGAAAAAAGAAAAAAAACAGUGGCCUUUAAAUUAUGACCCUGGAGAUACAGAAUAUCAUGGGCUGCAAGAAGAAUUGAACUUGCAGUCCUGAAUCGAACAAAGAUUUAUUGUUUCUUGAAUUCAGAUAAAAUAUUGAUACAGUGGAUUUUCAAGAUUAAUUUUCAAUUGAAGGCAUAACUUUCCCUUUUAGCUAAUUAUUUAGUGCAGGGGUAGGCAACCUUGGCUCUUUUAUGACUCGUGGACUUCAAUUCCCAGAAUUCCUGAGCCAGCCAUGGAGUUGAUGUCCAUGAGUCAUAAAAGAGCCGAGGUUGCCUACCCUUGAUCCAGUGGAUAAACGGGAAAAAAACUCGUGGAAGAUUAUUUCAAUAUAUGACUACUGUGGUAAGAUUUUUAUACGAACAUAGGCAGAAAGACUUGGCACUCCCCACCAUGGAGGAAUGGUUGAUGAAGAGAAUUGGCCAAGAUGGACAAACUGACUUCUUUGAUUAGAACAAGAUCAUUUAUUGACAUCCAUCAAUGACUAGAAACCACUUAUGGACUUUUUGCAGAAAAAAAAUGAUUUUGGUUGACUUAUGUUUUUGAUGACUAGAAAGAAUAGGUUAUAAAAAGGGAAAUGUGAUGCAAUCUUAGAGAGGUUUGAUCAGAAUUGUAUAGUUUAACUGCUGAGAAGAAGAUUGGAAUCUGUUCUUUUAUAUUUGUGUGUUUUCUGUUCUGUUCUUUUCUCCUUCUUUGUCUUUCUUUUUUCAUCUUUCACAUUUAUAGGUAGUCCUCAACUUAUGACCACAAUUGAGUCC